rnacentral:rRNA from 1 species
UACGUAGGGUGCGAGCGUUGUCCGGAAUUAUUGGGCGUAAAGAGCUCGUAGGUGGCGGGUCACGUCGGGUGUGAAAGCCCGGGGCUUAACUCCGGGUCUGCAUUCGAUACGGGCUGGCUAGAGUGUGGUAGGGGAGAUCGGAAUUCCUGGUGUAGCGGUGAAAUGCGCAGAUAUCAGGAGGAACACCGGUGGCGAAGGCGGAUCUCUGGGCCAUUACUGACGCUGAGGAGCGAAAGCGUGGGGAGCGAACAGG